GUAACAACCCCCACAUUUCAAUGACUUGACAUCAUAAAGGAGAAUUCCAUGCACAAUGUGAGUUGGAGGUUGACUCUCUCUCCUCUCGGCCAUCAGAGUCCUCUCUGUUCAGCCAGCAGCAUGUGUGGGAAGAGGGUCACAGUGGGCUGGGGAGGUUCUUAUGGGCCAGGUCUGGAAGGACACACAUCAGUUCCACUCACAUCGUUGGCCGAAACUCAAUCAUAUGACCACAUCUAACUGCCAGGGAAGGUGGUCUAACCGUGUCCUCAGAAAGAAGAGACGAACAUGGAUACCGAUGAGCAUUGCAAUCUCUGACAACGCUGAGUCUACACUGUGAAAACAAGAAACAGCAAUGGCGACCAGACCACCAACAGUGAUGAAAAGGUCUCACCUGUCAUAUCCGGACCUGAGCAAUAAUCUCUAGUUGACUGCACUCUGCUGCUCCAGGAAAACACCCGUAUUUGCAUGAGGCUGAGCCCAGGAGUUCUAUAGCGCAGAGAGAUGGAAGGGAAGACGUCUAAGCAGUGGAGACUCUGCCUUCUAGGCCUGUUGUGUCUGGGGCAGACUGAGAGCCAUCUUGCUGCUCCACGAAGCACACUCUGUUUCACAAGCAUGGCGAAGGCAGCGAGCAGAUGAACCAAGCAGGUGGUCUCCGAUGCACUCACCUCCUCUGCUCACCAAGGGCUCUCUGAGUCUCCACUCCCGCAUUAAGGAGAAACUGUCCUUGCCUUGUAUGUACUGUGUGUUCCCAGACAGGCACGUGCAUUCAUUUAUUCAUGAAUCAUUUGUGAUGUGUCAAGCUCACGCCAUAUGCCAGGCACAUGCUAGACCCUUCAGAGACAACAAGAGCAGCAAAGCACAGGGUCGACUGCUGUAGGUGACACCCUAAAGGUACAUCCGCAGAGCUAAAAUUAGGUUAUGUAUGUUUAUUGCAUCCACGUAUAUAGGUCUUGAAGAUAGAUUUAAAGACUUAGAUUCACACAAAAAUUAUUGCCAGCCAAAUAAAUUUUUACAGCUCAUCCCAUGUUUUCUACUCACAAAGAUAUCACUGUAAGCAACUUGGAAGGAUUUAGAAACCCAGCUUGGUGCCCCAGUUUUACUAUUUAUCAUUUACCAAGUGACCUUGAGCAAAUUCUCCAGUCUCCCUAUCAUCAAUUGCUCUUCCCUUAGGCAAGCAUGACAGUACCUGUCUCAUAGCUUGUCAGAAGGACUAGGAUGAGGCAUGAGUGUGGAGUGGCUAAAAAGCAAGUUAUUUCAGCUUUCUGUGCCUCACUGUCUUUGCUUGUAAAAGUAGGAUAAUAGAACCCAUGUCAUGCAAUUUCUGUGAAAAUUAAAUGAGAUAAUGACACAUUCAAUACUCAACACAUUUUAGUUAUUUUAUGAAAGUGUCAUAUCAACUACAACAUGCUAGAUAAAAGUUAAAAAGCAUUAACUGUUAAAGUUAAGCUCGGUCAGAAGAAGAGUAUUGGGACUAGAAUCAUUCCAACAUGCUACGUAUCCAGGGGAUUGGUACCUUUCAAUCAAACUCUUGGGCUCAGCGCUGUUUUGGACGUUGAAAUAGACGGCUCUGCUUUGGCCGUAAUGUCAUCUACCUCUCCAGCUAAAUGUACAUCCUUUUUCCGGGCCCUCUCCUCUGGUCUUCUCUUUCUUUUUAGAUCAGUUCUCAAAACGUAAUUCCUUUAAGGACCAGUUCUGAGUGUUUAUGCUGGUCCUGUGUGUAUACAGAAAAGGAAGACGAAAUGACGCCACUCUUUUCCAUCGUAGUCUGUGUUUAUUCUUCCUCUUCUUUAAAGCAAUAAGGAUGAUUUUUUCCCAUCUUUGAAAUGUCACGUCCUCAAAGUAAGUUUGGGCAGCAUCAAAACAAUUUAUAAAUUAAAGGAUUAUCAGAGUAGAGGGGACAUAAUUACCUACCGGAAUUUGACAUCACAAAAAGAAGACUCCAGAUAGUUUUCUUUGGGGUUGAAUCAUCACUAUUUAUGGGCUGAAGAAUUCCUGCUUCAAAGAUCAUUGGAAACUGAGUGUUAGGCUGUCUCUAGACCUGUUUGUUUUUUUAUUUCAGUUCAUGUAAAAAAUUCAUUGGCUACGUUAUUUUAUACUCUUCAUUCAAAUGACCCUUUUCAAAACAACCCAGUUUUUUAUUAGAAUUCAUUCAGUUUCUGUGUAUGUAACAGUUUAUAUGUGGAGACAAAACUCAACUUCUCAUUUGGUGGAAGAAAAUGAGCAUGACUAAAAUAUUAACAUUCCUCAAAUCCAGACUUGUUCAGGCAACAGUAAGCAAGUAUGCGAAGGAGCGUAGGCAUUUAGCUUAAAUCUGCACAAAGAGAAUGACUACCAUGCUUUUAAAUGAUUGGUCCUAUGAUUUUUGAGAUACAAAAAAAAAAAAGAGAGAAGAAGAAGAAUCUUGUUGCCAAGUAUGGAAAGAUGCAAAGGUGAGUCAGGUGAGAAUUCCAGCGGCGGUAAUCCUAACAUGCGCUUCUGUGCCUGUUGCAUAUUAGGAGACGAGUACCUCGGUUUUCACAUUUUUUAGUGAAAAGUGCUGUUCUGACUUAGCUGCCUUGGAAACACCCGCCUCUGCGGUGUAAUAUUGAUGAACGCGAGUCGGGAGCGGCUAGCACUGCGCCUCUCUCUGUGAAUAAUAGGGCACACAUGAAUGAUUAAAACAAGGCAACCAGAAACUCAUCUUGCCAGUGGUCCCUGGGAUCAAAUUCAUUUAUUAGCUCUCCAAGGUCACUGACCUCGAUUACCCGGAGCCCAGCUACUAAAUUGAUUAAUUGAUCCAUUCUCUCAUUUCACUCAUUUAAUUUGAAGGGAAAAUAAAAUGAAAAUAUUCUGGAUGAAUUGACUUGUAAGCCAUUGUAUUCUGCUUGCUGCAUCCUCUGAAACACGUGCUAAUGGUAAGCAGAGCAUCAGCCCUUGUGUCAUCACAAAGAAAACCGUGAACAUAGAGACCGCGGCUUCUCUCGCACAUCUUCCUUGCACUCAACAACUGUGCUCCCAAGUUUAACCCUCGCUGUACAAUUCUCCACACGACUCUAAUUUCGAAAGUUGUACAGGCUUAUGAAUUGAAAGAAUAUACGGAGAUACGGAAAUCUAGUUGGAUCUCUGUAGAGGAAACAUUUAAGGAAUUUUUUUAAAUGUGUUUCUUUUGUGGUCAUCAAUGGAGAAUCCUAAUGCUGAUUCUCUCAAAACUUCAAGGCAAAAGUUGUCCACUAGAAGUUUCCUGCAAAUGAUAUUACCUUCUUCACGGAAUGCUUCUUGAGGUCAGCUCCAGCGUGCCUCUGAUCUUAUACUGGAGUGCAACAGUUCUACGCCAGAGACUCAGACUUCGAGAACACGAUGACAAUACAGACUUAAACUGUGUCUCAGCUCAUAAGAUUACUAAGAUCUUCAAAGAGCUCAUAAACGUGACUUCGUUAAAUUUUACAUGAAGUAAUGUCAGUAACUUAAUUCUCCCAAGCCCCACCCCACCAACCCCCACCCUGGGGAAAUGUCCCCUAGCAGGAAGGACACAUCUUUAGACAUCUUCCUUUCCACUCAGGGAUUUGUGUGGUAACCAGCCCUCUUUAGAACUGGGUGAUUUUAAUGAAAAAGCUCUAACGUCAAAGCUUCUGCCAUUUUUCUGCGGGACAAGAGUGGAGUCCUAGAGGAGAACGUCCUUUUGCUCUCGUGUCCUGCUGAGCACUUUCAUGAGAUAUUGGUAAUGCGAAGAUAAGCCUGGAAUUGUGUGGGGGGUAAAGGUGAAAAAUCUGCACUGAUCCACAAAGCGAUGGGAUGAGGAUGGUGUGGGUUGCAGCCCGGGAGACGCACGGGGAAGGUGAGCCUGGAGGACAGGCACCGAGGAGGCCCAGGCUGCAGUUGACCUAAUUUUUGUAAAUAAAUAAAACAGGUGCCCUUCACUUUAGUCAAACAUUACACGCAAAGGGAUUUGCAAAAUCAAUUCUCUUCUUGAUGUUUGGGGCACUCCUGUUUCAUGGUAAAAACUUGCAGUGUGAAUUAUCACCCCACAUAUAUAUGUUUUUAUUAUACUGUGUUUUAUUUUAGGUUUUCUUCAAGUGAGGAACCCCCAUACACAUUCUUUUUCAGGUUAUAAAUUUACGUAGGAUCCAGUAAAUGUUAACUUCCGUUGUCCUGGGAGAACAUAAAACCAGAUACUAUUUGUAGCAUUAAAAACAGUAGUUUGUACUGUACGUCAGAGUCUGUGCAUGAUAAAGACUUCCGCACGAAAGGUGGCGGAUUUCUAUCUCGAUACCGGUAGUCAGCUACAAAGUUCUGCAAUCUAGUUCCUUUUGUAAAGUUUCUCAUUUCUAUUAUUAGAAAAUUGUAUCGCAAAUAGGAACAGUGACUAAAUAUGUUUGAAGUCUCUUCUUCUAUUAGUUUGAAUAGUGACUCAGUGAAGCAUUCCUACAGACUUUUCACACUUGUUCAUAAACUUUAUUUAGUUUCCAAACUGAAUUUUGACUACACUGGAAAGUUGUUAUGUUAUUGUUAAUAAUUGAGCUACAGAACAAAAUUAUUUCACUCAGAUAACAGAGUUUUAAAAGCUUCUUCUAACCACUUGAUUCAACUGGUAUUGAUUGGCUCAAAGGUGCAUCCUAAAAUUAUUUUUAAAGAUUGCAUCAUUUGUCAAACUCUCUGUAUUACCUAGGGCACUAAGUGAUGAGAGUUAAUCCUCCUAGGUUUUAUCUUUGUAAAAUGAAAUCGAAUUUAUUUCCAUUUUUCUCAGUGAAAUUGAAGUGAGAUGUACAAAUCAAAGAAAAAGAUGGUACAUGUGUCCCAAACA
rnacentral:lncRNA from 1 species